rnacentral:rRNA from 1 species
UACAUGGGGUGCAAACGUUGCUCGGAAUCAUUGGGCGUAAAGCGCGCGUAGGCGGUUGCUUAAGUCGGAUGUGAAAGCCCUCGGCUUAACUGAGGAAGUGCAUCCGAAACUGAGCAGCUAGAGUACGAAAGAGGGUCGCGGAAUUCCCGGUGUAGAGGUGAAAUUCGUAGAUAUCGGGAGGAACACCGGUGGCGAAGGCGGCGAUCUGGGUCGAGACUGACGCUGAGGCGCGAAAGCGUGGGGAGCAAACAGG